rnacentral:rRNA from 1 species
AACGAACGCUGGCGGCAUGCCUAACACAUGCAAGUCGAACGAGACCUUCGGGUCUAGUGGCGCACGGGUGCGUAACGCGUGGGAAUCUGCCCUUCGGUUGGGAAUAACUGAGAGAAAUUUCAGCUAAUACCUUAUAAUGUCUUCGGACCAAAGAUUUAUCGCCGAGGGAUGAGCCCGCGUAGGUUUAGGUAGUUGGUGGGGUAAUGGCCUACCAAGCCGACGAUCCUUAGCUGGUCUGAGAGGAUGGUCAGCCACACUGGGACUGGGACACGGCCCAGACUCCUACGGGAGGCAGCAGUGGGGAAUAUUGGACGAUGGGCGAAGGCCUGAUCCAGCAAUGCCGCGUGAGUGAUGAAGUCCUUAGGGUUGUAAAGCUCUUUUACCCGGGAUGAUAAUGACAGUACCGGGAGAAUAAGCUCCGGCUAACUCCGUG